rnacentral:rRNA from 2 species
AAACGACUCUCGGCAACGGAUAUCUCGGCUCUCGCAUCGAUGAAGAACGUAGCGAAAUGCGAUACUUGGUGUGAAUUGCAGAAUCCCGUGAACCAUCGAGUCUUUGAACGCAAGUUGCGCCCCAAGCCUUCUGGCCGAGGGCACGUCUGCCU